rnacentral:rRNA from 1 species
GGCUCAACCUCGGAACCGCAUUUGAAACUGGCAGACUAGAGUGCCGAAGAGGGGGGUAGAAUUUCAGGAGUAGCGGAGAAAUGCGUAGAGAUCUGAAGGAAUACCAGUGGCGAAGGCGGCCCCCUGGACAGACACAGACACUCAGAUGCGAAAGCGUGGGGAGCAAGCAGGAUUAGAUACCCUGGUAGUCCACGCCGUAAACGAUGUCUACUUGGAGGAAGUGGCCUUGAGCCGUGGCUUUCGGAGCUAACGCGUUAAGUAGACCGCCUGGGGAGUACGGUCGCAAGAUUAAAACUCAAAUGAAUUGACGGGGGCCCGCACAAGCGGUGGAGCAUGUGGUUUAAUUCGAUGCAACGCGAAGAACCUUACCUACUCUUGACAUCCAGAGAAUUCGCUAGAGAUAGCUUAGUGCCUUCGGGAGCUCUGAGACAGGUGCUGCAUGGCUGUCGUCAGCUCGUGUUGUGAAAAGUUGGGUUAAGUCCCGCAACGAGCGCAACCCUUAUCCUUGUUUGCCAGCACGUAAUGGUGGGAACUCCAGGGAGACUGCCGGUGAUAAACCGGAGGAAGGUGGGGACGACGUCAAGUCAUCAUGGCCCAUACGAGUAGGGCUACACACGUGCUACAAUGGCGCAUACAGAGGGCUGCAAGCUAGCGAUAGUGAGCG